GCAUCAAAUACAAGCCAUAGGGGGCUGCCAACAGUGUGAGAUGUUACAGAAGGAAAUAGAUGAACUCAAGGAACAACUCGGUAUGGCCUACCCCGGGCAGGAAAGAUAUUGGGACAGGGGCAGAGGGGGGAGCUUAGUGUUUGGGUGCAGGUGGUUACAGUGGGUGGUGGGGCAGGCCCUCAUGGGGAAGGUGACAUGAAUCAGGCCAGGCUGGGAGCCCUGUGUGCCUUGACUUCUGGAACUUGCACCAAGAGGCUCUCUGUUCUCCCAUGUGCUGUACAGAUGAGUCCCCCCAGCCUCUUCUCUCUGGACAUUCAGAUGUUCCUCCUUAGCUUUCCCUUGAAGUCCUGGCACCUGGAAUUUUUGGGUGUCUGUUGACACAUGUUUGUUUGUUUGUUUGUUUGUUUGUUUCACAAGUAGGGCUGGCACUGCUGUGACCCAGCGUUUGAGGACUGCCUAUCCAUGCUGUUCUCCUGUAGAAAACGUUUGCACAUAGCGCUCGGUGAUGGGUGGGGGAGUGUGUCCCAACUCUGUCUGCUUGGAUGGGGGCUGGAGGGCAGUGAGGCGGCUGUCUGGAAGUUCCUGUGGAGCAGAGCAUGGGUCUCAGGCGGGUGGGUUCCUGUCCUGUGUGUCUAUGUCUGGAAUACCCAUUUUUACCUCUGUGUUUCAGCAAUCAUGCAAGUCUUCAAAGAAAAGUUCCAGGAUCCUUGAAGUUGGACUCAAGAGUUUCUCCCCACAGAAGAGGCCAAACUACCACCUGUGGAUCCUGCUUCCUUCCAGUUUUCUUCGACAGCAGUGGUUCCCACCUUCCUAAUGCUAUGGCCUGCUCAUGGGCUUCAUUUUGUGAUGUUAACCCUCUACCAUAAAGCUAUUUCAUUGUUAC
rnacentral:lncRNA from 1 species